CCAAACACCGUCGGGGUGGAUGAUGCUUAAUACAGAUGCAUCCUUCUUGAAUGCGAGAGAAGAGAGCGGGAUUGCAGGGGUAAUUAGGGACCAUAGGGGCAAUUGGGUGGUAGGGUUUAAGAGAUACUCCUUUGCGAGAGAUGCAUUAUUAGCGGAGUUGUUAGGAAUUUGGGAAGGCCUUCAAUUAGCUAUCAGCCAUAGAUUUCAAAGAUUGGUCCUUUUCUCGGAUUGUAAAGUGGCAGUGUACCUCGUGUCCAACGGUAGUUCUCAGACUAACCAAUAUUCUCAUAUCAUUGAUAUUUGCAGGGAGUUACGACAGAUGUUCCAGGAGAUCAAGAUUAUGCACUGCAGUAGGGAUCGAAACAGCAUAGCGGAUUGUAUGGCCCGGCGACGGGAUGAUGAUUUAUAUGGUUGUAUCAAUGUAACUAGGCUUUUCCCCUUCCCCCCUAGUUAUUGUAUGGAUUUAUAUCAUGCAGAAUGUAUUCCAGGACCGGAUGUGGCCAGUAUGGACCAUAAUGGUAUGUAAUGUUUUAACUAAGUAAUUUAAGACCCUUUUCACCAAAAAAAAAAAAAAAAACUGUUUCCCACUUUUGUUCAAUUUCUGCGUUAAUGUCAUUUGUUUGGAGUGUAAAAUUCUGGAUUACGCAAUUCCAGUGUGAUUUGAUGAAAGAAAAACCCUAGUUUUUCUGCAUAAUUUGAGAAUUUCGCCGGAAAUUUGCCAGUUUCUGUUGAUUCAAAAUAGGUAUAGGAAUUGCUUGCUUCUUGCUAUUCAGUGAUGAUGUCAGAGCAAGACUUAAUGAUGAACUUUCGUUCAAAAUAGUGUUAUUGUGAAUUGUGAUAGGUAUUCUGCUUCAAGACUAUUUCGGUAAUCAUCUCAACUGGACUGUCGAGCUAUUGCUCAACUAGUAGUAUCAAAUUUGUACCUCUUUUCAACCACCAAAGCGUAAGUAAUGACAAGGUGUAUGCUCUGGAUGGAAUAAACAAUGGGGCUUGAUUUGAAUUAUCGAAGACAAGGAACUGAUUCCAAUUUUAGUUUAUUUUGGCAAUGGUGUAUAAAAUCACAAGUCAUCUUGCAGAUGUGAUGUGUUAAUGGUGUAUAAAAUCACAAAUCAUCUUGCAGAUGUGAUGUGUUAACAUAUUAAAUCAAUACUAAUUGACAGAACAUGAGAACA